UGGGGAAUAUUGCACAAUGGGGGAAACCCUGAUGCAGCGACGACGCGUGAACGAAGAAGGUAUUCGUAUCGUAAAGUUCUGUCCUAUGGGAAGAUAAUGACAGUACCAUAGAAGAAAGCUCCGGCUAAAUACGUGCCAGCAGCCGCGGUAAUACGUAUGGAGCGAGCGUUGUCCGGAAUUAUUGGACGUAAAGGGUACGCAGGCGGUUUAAUAAGUCGAAUGUUAAAGAUCGGGGCUCAACCCCGCAAAGCAUUGGAAACUGAUAAACUUGAGUAGUGGAGAGGAAAGUGGAAUUCCUAGUGUAGUGGUGAAAUACGUAGAUAUUAGGAGGAAUACCAGUAGCGAAGGCGACUUUCUGGACACAAACUGACGCUGAGGUACGAAAGCGUGGGGAGCAAACAGG
rnacentral:rRNA from 1 species